GGAAGGGGCGGGGAUAAAGUCGGAGGGCCAAGGUAGUGGGGUGAGAGAGUGACGUGGGGUGGCCCGAGAGCCGGCCUGCCAAUGACAGAGCGGCGAGAGACGACGGGAGCCAACGGGAACGGAGUGAGAGAUUCUCCGACCAAUUGGAACCCAGUCACUGCCAUAGCAUGGCCGCCAAUGAGUGGGAUAGGUCCUCACCUGGGAACCAAACAUGGGCUGCCAAAGCGGAGUGUGCUGAACUUAACCACUAGGCAACAGGGCCAGCCCUGAAAGUCAGAAGAUGAGAACAGCAGAUAAUCACUUUCCCAGAUCACCUGUUAGAGAACGUAAAUGACCUGCAUUCAACCUGUCAGCUGCCUCCACCUGGGACUUUAAAUCUGAAGCUAAUGUUGCAAAGAAGCAAGACAAGUGGACAGUCCUUUCUGACAGUGGCUGCUGUGACUGAACUUCCAUUUCCCAGGGGCAAAAGCCAAAAGGGUGUUCAGAAUCAGUGAUUCAAGCCACUGCCCUCCAUGUGUUCAACAGGGGCAACAAGCCCUUCCUGACUGGCAUGAUUAUGGUUAGCCUCCCUUUAUUUUUGCCCAUUUUCCAAUCCUAAUUUUUCAGCCUUCCCUGAAAUUCUCCAAGAUGCCCAAUAUCAUUUCAAUAAAUCCCUUUUUGGUUUAAA
rnacentral:lncRNA from 1 species